GGAGGACAAGCACAUGGAUUAUUUAUUUGGCUACAAAAAAAAGGAGGACUACUUUAGCAGUUAUUUUCAGCCUAUCAAUAAACAACUUUACUUUAGAUCUUAUUAUGCAAUUCGAAUGUAAAAUUUUACUCGAUUUAAUACACUCACGGAAAUAAAUAGGGCAAAAAUUAUAUGAAAAAAGGAAUUAUUUAGGAAAUUGGUGAAAUAAUUUGAAAAUAUAAGUUAUGGAUAAAUGAAUAAGUAGAAAAAUAUUAGGAUUACAAAAUAAAUAUAUAAAUAACAAAUCAAAUAACUACUAAAUGCUAUAAAAAUAUAAAUAAGAUAAACUAAAUUGUACUAUACC